AAUUGUGAUACCUCAUUAACCAGUUGAAUGUAAUACUAUAGACGUUAAAAGACGUUAAAAGCAUGGAAAAUAAAUACAUUCAAGAAUUUAACAAACUCAACCGUAUAACUGUCAACUGGAACGACCUCUACUGCCGAAAAUGUGAUAAAUUUGAUACGAGAAAUGCAACUUCAAAAUACUCGUGAGCAUUUCCUCGAACACUUGAAAGAAUGCAUUCAUCGACCAAUCACAUGUCCCUUCGACAAUCUGCCGUUCAAGGAUGUGGAGGCAUUUAUAAAACACAUUCCAGUGCAUGAACACGUUGAGCAGGUAACGCUUAACUCACUGCAGAUUAAAUUAAACCUACAAACCAGUCGAAGCAAAGCAAUCUUAGCUGAAUACAAAAAUAAUUAUUUCUUGGUUUGUGUCAUUAAACAAAGCAACUUUCUUUCGUUUAAUGUUUCAAAACUCUUGGAUUAUUCGCCAUCGAUUAACACAUUCACAAUUGUAUAUCAAUAUAAAAACAUGUAUAUAUAUCUGCAAGGAGAUAUGAUAUCUCUUAGGGAUGUACUCGAUGAGGAAUUAACGAAUACUUUACUGCAAAAAACAGUUUUACUGCAUCCCGAAGCCAAGAUUACGAUUUAUUUCUAUGAUUAUGAGAAUAUACGCGCAUAUUGCAUCAAAGUGAAUAAAUGUACAGUGUGUCAGAAGCAAUUACUUGGACAUAUAAAACAUUGUGUCAAUGCGCAUGUAUGUUGUGUUGCCUGCGCUACAAGAAUCCAAGCGUGUUCAAUAUGCAAGAUUCCCCAACGAUUAAUUGACGUGAAUGUAACUUUAAAGUAUUUUUUAAAUGAUCCGCUUUUUGUUUGUGAUAAUUUAGACGCCGGAUGCUUGGAGUUUGUUAAAUUGAGUAAUAGAAUAGAACAUAAUAAAGUAUGUGCUUUCCGGACACUCAUUUGUCCCGAUUGUAGGACUGGAUUUUCCGCACAUAAAUUAUGUGAGCAUUAUGAAAAGAAUCAUGAUAUUAAAAGUAAUUAUUCGAUUUGUACGUGGACAUUUCAAAAUGAAUCCAUGUCUACUAUAUAUAUUUUAUACCGAUCGAAAGUAUUUUGUAUACGGAUAAAAUAUAGUGAUCUAGUUUUACAAUGUCGUGCUGAAUUGAUUAAUGGAGAUAAUGUGAGUGCAGCCAAGUAUCGAUAUCAAGUUGUUUUGAUGAAAAAUAGUAAAGUUAUAGCAAAAGUAGGUAAUAUUUGUUUAGGAACUGUUUUGAGUAAUACUCUGCCUGCUGCACAAGCCAUUGUGUAUAAUUCCGAUGUUAAUUUGGAGCCCUGUGUGACAAUUUUCUUUAAUAAUAAUGCUUGGAGUAUGCAA